rnacentral:lncRNA from 1 species
CUAUUACCUGUUUAUCUCAAUUGUAAAAUAUUAUAAUUUCAUGAAUUCAUAUCUCAGUCAUUGUUUUAGUUCAUUUUCAUGAGAUUAUAAUACCUUGUGAAAUGACUAAUGAGGUGUUAUAAUCUCAUGAAAAUGAAUUAAAUUAAAAACCAACAAAAUUAUAAAGAAAAUAAUGUAAGUUAUCUUAGGAUAUAAUCCUUCUAAACAAACAUGGCCUAAGUUUUUAACAGGCAUACCAAGUUUUGUUAUUAU